rnacentral:sRNA from 1 species
GGUGGUAGUCUGGCUAUUUGGGAAGUAGAACUGACUUGCUGUCCAAAUUUAUGUCAGCUGGAUGAAUCAGGCUUUGGGCCAUCCCCCUUGGUGCUUUUCCAGUGGAAGACUGGGCACAACAUCCCCAGAAUACCUCACUUCCGCACAAAAAAGAGGAUUGCUAUGUCCCUAGUCCCCUCUCCUUGUCUCCUGAGACCCUCCAGGAAGCAUCCCUGAGGACCCUUGGAUUCUCUCUUCCAUGCUGCAUAGUCCUGGGCUCUUAACAUUAGUAGGAGAGCUGGAGCACUCCUCUUGUGACUCAGAGGGAACUUGUCACUGCGUCAGCAAACCAUGGGCAUACAUCCACACAGACUUCAAGGGAACAAAGAAAUGGAGGACAUUAUCAUGGGUGGAGACAGUGUCCAGGUGUCUCUGAAGGCUUUCAGGGACAACAGUGCAUGGACGAUUCAUUUUCUGUUAAAAGGUCUGCUGUGCACAAGGGAGGCUCUUAGAGAAAAGCCUCCUGGUCAGAAGAGUGUCCCUAUAUCCUCAACCAGCAUGCUUGUUAGCUCUGUCAACUUGAGUCACCAGCCUAGAGUCACCUGAGAAAAGUCUCAGCGAGGGAUUGUUUAUAUUGUGUUGACUUGUGGGCACAUCUAGAAGGAGGUAUCUUAACUGAGUUCAUUAAUGUGAUGUAGGAGGACCCAGUCCACUAUAGGAGGCCUCAUUCCCUAGACAGACGGUCCUAAACCCUAGAAAGGUGGGGAAAUUGAGCUGAGCAUAAGCAAACAAGCAAGCAACACACCUGUGUUCAUUUCUCUCUGCUCUUGACUGUGGCUGUUAUGAAACGCUGCCUCAGCCUUCUGCAGCUGUGACUUCUCACAGUGAUACAGAAGUGGGAGCUGUGACCUGGAACAGUGAGUUAAAGUAAACUCUUUUUCCUCUAAGUUGUUUGUUGCUGGGAUAUUUUAUCAUGGCAGCAGACUGUAUCAAUCAGGCUGCAUCCCAUAGAGACUUAGUAAAUGUUGGCUUGAAACGGCUGCCCACGGCCUCCUACAUUUCAUUGCAAAACUCUAUCUUCUCUAGGAACCCCCCAGCUUUGGACCCAAUCCUCUUCCACGAUUUCCAGAUGAACCUCUUAGCAGACUCGUGGCAAGAAGCAGAGAGCAGAGCAAUACAGAGCUGAGCAGAAUUCCACAGCUGGCUUUGUAGUUAUAAAUCAGGGCGCUGAAUGAUCAAUGACCAGAAACGAAGGAGGGAGGGUUUAGGUGGAAAAUUGAUACUCUAUACAGAGCAAGAAACCCAUGUUGGGAUUUGCAGUGGAAAGACCUUUCUGUCCUAAGGUUUUUCUCACCAGUGACUGGAAAUGGUAGGGAAGGUGACUGGAAUAAUUUACCACAUGGGUCUUUAAUUAGGAUCCUGUGAAUCCUGUAACAGAUAAGUGCAGGAAAAGCCCUUUAGAGAGCACUCCCUAAAGAAUAGUGUGAAAAACAGCUCUAAGUAGAGCCUAGGCCCUGAGGGGAGCCGGAUCCUGGUAGGUAGGCUGACUCUGAAAGGUCAGAAGGUCACCUGGUUUAGACAUAGAUCUCUGGCUAAACAAUACUCAGCCUCAGUGGGUUAUGGUCCCAACUUUAAAGACAACACAUCUGCCUCUCUGGGUGCGAGCUCUGAGAGCCUUGGCAGCUGAGCUCUUUGGGUAGCUAGCUACCAGCUUCUUGGGCAGGGCCAGUACCUUGCACUGGCUUGCCUAUGUGUUCCCUCACGUCCCCCUCGUCGGCCUCGUUCCACACACAGUCUGCACAGCUUGACAUGCCUAUAACCUCUGGCCUGAAGCCAGGCACGUCUGGUUUGGCUGCCUGCUGGGCGGGUGAGUUAGCAUCCCUGCCCCCAUCCUCAAAAGAAACCUGUCAUUUCCCACACAAGCAUCAACUAACAGUUUAGUUAGUUCUGGUUUUAAACAUUUGUAGUUUAAGGACCUCGGUAGCUAGUUCAGUCAGUAAAGUGCUUGUAGGAGCGUGGUUGCCGAUGCUUGUAAUCCUAGCACUGAGAAGUUGGAAACAGGCAGAUCCCUGGGACUCACUGACUUGAUGAGUCCCAGGCAAAUAAAAAAGAGACUUUGCCUUAACAAACAAGGUGCAUGGUAUCUGAAGAACAAUACCUGUCCUCUGGCCUCUACAUGCACAUCCACAUACAUGCACACGUGUGUGCGCGCACACACACACACAUAC